UACAGAGGUCUCAAGCGUUGUUCGGAUUCAUUGGGCGUAAAGGGUGCGUAGGUGGCGCGCUAAGUCAGGUGUGAAAUUUCGGAGCUUAACUCCGAAACUGCAUUUGAUACUGGCGUGCUUGAGGACUGGAGAGGAGACUGGAAUUCAUGGUGUAGCAGUGAAAUGCGUAGAGAUCAUGAGGAAGACCAGUGGCGAAGGCGGCAUCCUGGACCAACACUGACGCUGAGGAGCGAAAGCCAGGGGAGGCAAACGGG
rnacentral:rRNA from 1 species